rnacentral:misc_RNA from 1 species
CAACUCUCAAGCCCGGCUUGGUCCUGGAGGGCGUCCCGCCGCCGCGGGGCCCCUCCCAAACGCAACUCACGUCGUGCCAUCUCGGUCGGAGCGCAGCAGAUUUGCAGCCCCGUCCGGCGUCGUCGCGAGCCGCCCCCGCGCGGACUUCUCAA